rnacentral:misc_RNA from 1 species
GAAGCACAACCAUGAUGUUCCAGCAGCAAGGGGCAGUGGCAACCACUCAAUUAACCGACCUAUGGCACCGACCAUAAGGCCUACUGUGACAUCUCAUCAAUCCAACUAUCAAGUUCCAUUACAAAGUAUAAGGCCACAACAGUCUGAAAUGGGAGCACCCUUUACACUAGAGAUGUUGCAGAAGCCUAAUAAUUAUGGUUUCUCAGGAUAUGCAAAUUCAGGGGAUUCAUAUGAAAACCAAGUUCAGGACAAUAAUGUGUUUUCGAGAACUAAGGACGAGCCUCGAGAUGACUUGUUUAUGGAGUCAUUGCUUUGCUGAAACUGGAAUCCUAGAAAGGAGCACGAAUUGAAGUUUAUGAAACGAAAAACUGAACCUUUUAUUUAUUUAUUUUUGCAUAAAGAAUAUGAUAGGAAGCAUUUUGAUUUCAUUUGUUA